rnacentral:rRNA from 1 species
GAACGCUGGCGGCGUGCUUAACACAUGCAAGUCGAACGAUGAAAGCGGGAGCUUGCUCCUGCUGGAUUAGUGGCGAACGGGUGAGUAACACGUGAGUAACCUGCCCUUGACUCUGGGAAUAAGCGUUGGAAACGACGUCUAAUACCGGAUACGACCUUCGGAGGCAUCUCCUGGGGGUGGAAAGAAUUUCGGUCAAGGAUGGACUCGCGGCCUAUCAGCUAGUUGGGGAGGUAAUGGCUCACCAAGGCGACGACGGGUAGCCGGCCUGAGAGGGUGACCGGCCACACUGGGACUGAGACACGGCCCAGACUCCUACGGGAGGCAGCAGUGGGGAAUAUUGCACAAUGGGCGCAAGCCCUGAUGCAGCAACGCCGCGUGAGGGACGACGGCCUUCGGGUUGUAAACCUCUUUUAGUAGGGAAGAAGCGAAAGUGACGGUACCUGCAGAAAAAGCACCGGCUAACUACGUG